rnacentral:rRNA from 1 species
GACAGAGGUCCCGAGCGUUAGGCGGAAUCACUGGGCUUAAAGCGUGUGUAGGCGGACUUGUAAGUACCUUGUGAAAUCCCACGGCUUAACCGUGGAACUGCUCGGUAUACUGCGGGUCUUGAGCCACUUAGGGGCUACCGGAACAAAUGGUGGAGCGGUGAAAUGCGUAGAUAUCAUUUGGAACGCCAAUGGUGAAAACAGGUAGCUGGGAGUGUGCUGACGCUGAGACACGAAAGCCAGGGGAGCAAACGGG